AUUGAACGCUGGCGGCAUGCUUUACACAUGCAAGUCGAACGGUAGCAGGCCUUCGGGUGCUGACGAGUGGCGAACGGGUGAGUAAUGCAUCGGAACGUGCCCAGAGGUGGGGGAUAACGCAGCGAAAGCUGUGCUAAUACCGCAUGUGAUCUGAGGAUGAAAGCGGGGGACCAAGCAGCAAUGUUUGGCCUCGCGCCUCUGGAGCGGCCGAUGUCAGAUUAGGUAGUUGGUGGGGUAAAGGCCUACCAAGCCGACGAUCUGUAGCUGGUCUGAGAGGACGACCAGCCACACUGGGACUGAGACACGGCCCAGACUCCUACGGGAGGCAGCAGUGGGGAAUUUUGGACAAUGGGCGCAAGCCUGAUCCAGCAAUGCCGCGUGCGGGAAGAAGGCCUUCGGGUUGUAAACCGCUUUUGUACGGAACGAAAAGGCUCUGGCUAAUACCUGGGGCUGAUGACGGUACCGUAAGAAUAAGCACCGGCUAACUACGUG
rnacentral:rRNA from 1 species